UCUCGCUAUCACUUCUGGAUGGACCUGCGGUGCAUUAGCUUGUUGGUGGGGUAACGGCCUACCAAGGCGAUGAUGCAUAGCCGAGUUGAGAGACUGAUCGGCCACAAUGGGACUGAGACACGGCCCAUACUCCUACGGGAGGCAGCAGUAGGGAAUCUUCCACAAUGGGCGCAAGCCUGAUGGAGCAACACCGCGUGAGUGAAGAAGGGUUUCGGCUCGUAAAGCUCUGUUGUUAAAGAAGAACACGUAUGAGAGUAACUGUUCAUACGUUGACGGUAUUUAACCAGAAAGUCACGGCUAACUACGUGCCAGCAGCCGCGGUAAUACGUAGGUGGCAAGCGUUAUCCGGAUUUAUUGGGCGUAAAGAGAGUGCAGGCGGUUUUCUAAGUCUGAUGUGAAAGCCUUCGGCUUAACCGGAGAAGUGCAUCGGAAACUGGAUAACUUGAGUGCAGAAGAGGGUAGUGGAACUCCAUGUGUAGCGGUGGAAUGCGUAGAUAUAUGGAAGAACACCAGUGGCGAAGGCGGCUACCUGGUCUGCAACUGACGCUGAGACUCGAAAGCAUGGGUAGCGAACAGGAUUAGAUACCCUGGUAGUCCAUGCCGUAAACGAUGAGUGCUAGGUGUUGGAGGGUUUCCGCCCUUCAGUG
rnacentral:rRNA from 1 species